UUGUGAUGUUUGUUCGAUAAUCUUGUGAUGUAUAUUCGAAAUCUUGUGAUGUGUGUUCUACAAUUCAGUGAUGCGUGCAAUAUGACGCAACAGUUUUAUAAGAAAGUAAGGACAAUUUUCAUUGGUUUAUAGAAAUAACGAAAGUAGCUGGAGCGAUUGUUGUGGGGAAAACUAUGCAGGUGAGAAAAACACAGUCAGUUUGUUUAUUACAGCACUAAUUACGAGAUGCACGAGUGUUGACCCUGGUGACAUGAUGGAGAUAUUUCGGUCUGCUAGGAAAAAAACUCGGUAAACGUAGAAAUGUUGACGAAAUUUACAAGCUGAUCGCCAACCAGGAGAUCAGAAUGAUAGCAUCUGCUCCUGCCACUUUAAGGAUGGUAAGAAGGAGGGGGACCCUGCAUAUUUUGCAUGGAAUGAAGGAAAGGCCAUGGAUUUCUCUGAUCCUGAAUGUACAAAAAGGAGGAAAAAACUCAAAAGUGAGGAGUCCCUGUCAUCUUCACAGAUGGACCAGUUGCAGAUUCCACAAGCACCAAAAUGUCAAGAUCAAGAAAAAUUGAUAUCAGAGCACAACUACUCAGCAUCCUGCACAUUUAACUGUACUCAAGAAAUGCAGUGCCUCUCAACAGAAAUACAACUGGAAAAGGAAUUGCUUGCCCUAAAAAUAGAGUCUAGUAAAAGGAAGCCAAUGUCAAUUCACGAUAUUAAAGACAACGAAGAGAAGAUGCUUUUGUAUACAUCCCUACAGUAUGACAUAUUCGAAAUCUUAAGUCAGAUUGUUACAACGAUUUGAACUCGAUUAUUAAAUGGCUGGACUCCUUCAAUGAAAACAGAGGACCAACUGCUCAUUGUACUAAUGAAGUUAAAACUCAAUCUACGGGACACCAACUUGGCUCAUUGAUUCUGUGUCAGUCGACCAACAAUUUCGAACAUCUUUCAUACCCUUGUUCAUGCACUACACAAGAUGCUGUCUGAUGGCGUAGUCAAUGAAUGUUUUCCAAGUCAGCUUAAAUGCAAAGGGUCUCUGCCAAAAUCUUUUGAGGAUUUUUCCUCUGCUAGAGCAUCCAUGGAUGCAACUGAAACAACCCAGGACAUCCCAACACAUAUGGACAAUCAGGCCAUGGCCUGCAGUAUGUACAAAAGUCGCCAUACUGUUAAAGCAGUGACUUGCAUGGCUCCAAACGGUGCACUUACAUUUUGCUCCAUGCUGUACCCAGGUUCUACUUCUGAUGUAGCUAUUGUACGUCACAGCCAAGUUUUACAAAAGUUCAAAGCUGGAGACCCUAUUUUGGCGGACAAAGGUUUCAUUAUUCAUGACCAGUUGCCCCAGGGUGUCUGCUUUAAUAUACCAGCUUUUUUAUCGACACGAGGCCAGUUUACCAAACAAGAAGCAGCACUGUGUUACAAGAUUGCUAAAGCACGUAUUCAUGUGGAAAGAGCCAACGAGAGGAUAAAGAAUUACGAGAUUCUCCGUCACAUCCCAUCUACUUACAGACCAAUCUCAACAAAAAUAUUUCAACUCUGUUCUUGUCUUGUAAACUUGCAAGCUCCACUUUUGAAAGAAAUUACUUAAAGAUAAAUGUACUUAUUAUAAAUUUGCAUUGGUGUGUGACAGUAUGUUUUUAUUACAAGAAUGUUUGGCAAUUCCAUUCUUCAUUUGACAAUAUAAUUUGGAAGAGGGUUUACU